rnacentral:rRNA from 1 species
AUACGGAGGAUGCGAGCGUUAUCCGGAUUUAUUGGGUUUAAAGGGAGCGUAGGUGGGAUAUUACGACAGCUGUGAAAGUUUGGGGCUCAACCUUAAAAUUGCAGUUGAUACUGGUUUCCUUGAGUACGGUAUAGGUGGGCGGAAUUCGUGGUGUAGCGGGGAAAUGCUUAGAUAUCACGAGGAACUCCGAUCGCGAAGGCAGCUCACCGGGCCGGAACUGACACUGAUGCUCGAAAGUGCGGGUAUCAAACAGGAUUAGAUACCCUGGUAGUCCGCACAGUAAACGAUGAAUACUCGCUGUUUGCGAUACACUGUAAGCGGCCAAGCGAAAGCGUUAAGUAUUCCACCUGGGGAGUACGCCGGCAACGGUGAAACUCAAAGGAAUUGACGGGG